UACGUAGGCAGCAAGCGUUGUUCGGAAUUACUGGGCGUAAAGAGUACGUAGGUGGUUUGCCAAGUCCGAUGUGAAAUCUCCUGGCUUAACUGGGAGGGUGCGUUAGAAACUGGCAGGCUUGAAUGUGGGAGAGGAGAGCGGAAUUCCUGGUGUAGCGGUGAAAUGCGUAGAUAUCUGGAGGAACACCGGUGGCGAAGGCGGCAUCCUGGACCGACACUGACACUGAGGAGCGAAAGCCAGGGGAGCAAACGGG
rnacentral:rRNA from 1 species